GACGAACGCUGGCGGCGUGCCUAAUACAUGCAAGUUGAGCGCUGAAGGUUGGUACUUGUACCGACUGGAUGAGCAGCGAACGGGUGAGUAACGCGUGGGGAAUCUGCCUUUGAGCGGGGGACAACAUUUGGAAACGAAUGCUAAUACCGCAUAAAAACUUUAAACACAAGUUUUAAGUUUGAAAGAUGCAAUUGCAUCACUCAAAGAUGAUCCCGCGUUGUAUUAGCUAGUUGGUGAGGUAAAGGCUCACCAAGGCGAUGAUACAUAGCCGACCUGAGAGGGUGAUCGGCCACAUUGGGACUGAGACACGGCCCAAACUCCUACGGGAGGCAGCAGUAGGGAAUCUUCGGCAAUGGACGAAAGUCUGACCGAGCAACGCCGCGUGAGUGAAGAAGGUUUUCGGAUCGUAAAACUCUGUUGGUAGAGAAGAACGUUGGUGAGAGUGGAAAGCUCAUCAAGUGACGGUAACUACCCAGAAAGGGACGGCUAACUACGUGCCAGCCGCCGCUGUAAGAC
rnacentral:rRNA from 1 species